rnacentral:lncRNA from 1 species
ACCCUGCUCCCCGCCGAGAGGGAGCAGAGGGCUGCAAAGGGCUAAGGCAUUUCAGGUCGUUCCCGAGGAUGUUCACGUCGGGUGCAGCAGCUCCGGACUCAGGCCGCCCGGAGAAACCCGCCCGUCCGCUUCCUUUUUCCUUGGCUCUCCUCCCCGCGGCGCAUCCCCCUUGCUGCGCCGCGUGCGCAGACGAGGCGAGCCUUUCCACGCUUAAAGGGCCCGCGGUCGCCGAUUGCCGGAGACAGCUGCGCGCGCGCCCUUCAACCCUGUGCUUUCCGCUGAGGCGGUUCCUCGCUUCUCCGGGUUCCUCGCCCGGAGCAACCUCGGUUGCGCGCCCGGGUGGCGCUCAAAGCCUGUGAGCCGUUUCGGAGCGCCCGUCCCGGAGGCGCUGGAAUCAACCGCUUGCUGGCCUGCCUGCGCGCAUUUGUCCCGAGCAGCGUUGCGAGGAGAUCGCGGCCACUUGCCACGUUGGGGUGCCAGCAAGCGAUCGACCCCUUGGUUUUCGGUCUCUCUCUCUCUCUCUCUCUCUCUCUCUCUGCGGUGCUCUUUGGGCCCCGCUUGGGCAGUGGGAGAAUCCGGGAGCAGCCUUCCCUUGCUUCAGGCCAGGCGAAGUGCCCUCCCCUUUUUUGGGUGUCAGGAGCAAGCCUUGAUAGGACAAGUCCAGUGCACCCGGAAGGCACCAGAUUCAUGAAGGCAGGACUUAGCAGUUCUCUGCACAGAAUACCUUAUACCAUCAGGCUUGAAAUUUUGGGCUUGGACAAUCUUGAAUUCCGCCGCCUACUUAAGCUAGGACACAAAAUUAUCUGCUACAAUGUCCUACCAGUCAAUGACUACUUCAGCUUCAACGCAACAAUACAAGAGCACACAACGGAUACAAACUCAAUGUUAACCGCUCCAAACUUGAUUGCAGAAAGUACGACUUCAGCAACAGAGUGGUCAAUGCCUGGAAUGCACUACCUGACUCUGUUGUUACAUCCUCUAAACCCCACUCUUUUAACCUCAAAACUAUCCGCUAUUGACCUUACCCCAUUCCUAAGAGGUCUGUAAGGGGCGUGCAUAAGUGCAGCAUUGUGCCUCCUGUCCCUCUCGUAUUGUCCCCAUUUAUUUGUACCCA